GGUAGCAACAAACCCAUACAAUUUUAUAAAAUCAACGAAAAGUAACAAAAAUGACCAGCAUUGCCGUCAAUUCCGUAUCCGGCUUUCGCCUGCAACGCAACGACUGAUUUUCGACGUAAACGCAACGACGCCGCGUCGACGUUGACGUCGGCCGCAACGACAACGACAAUCUUUAUCUAACUACUGUGUUACGUAUACGCCGUGUGCGACCGACCCACGCGUCACCGCAACAGCUGACUUGGAGAAAGCAGCGGGAUGAGUUAAGAACAUCAGAGCUAGCGUGCGGCGUGUGCGUGGAUCAAAUAAAUAAUACAAACCAAAAAUAAAAACAAAAUUUAUACAUAAUUAGAAAGCCAAUAAAUUCGUUUCUAUGUAGUGAAUACCGACCGCCAUAACAAAGUGGCUGUUAAACAAGUUCCGUGAACUCAUAGCUACCAAAAAAGGAAAACGUAAAAAGGCAAACAAAAAAUUUCUUGAUAUUUUUUUAUUUGAAUUGGGCAAAAAGUGGGUUAUUGAAAAGUAGCAAAAUAAAAGAAAAAAUAUACAUACAUAUGUGUGUAUGUACAUAUUAAUUAAAAAAGUGCUUAAAACAAAGC
rnacentral:misc_RNA from 1 species